GGGGCAGGGCUCUAGGACAGGAGAGGAAAUUGAACCUCAGAGACAGAGCUGUGUGGUCCCUCUGACUGACUCCAGUGGAAAGAAGAGGGCCCAAGUGGAUCAACCUUCCAGGAUCCAGGCGUCAAGACGGAGCUCUGAUGGCCGGGCAUGGUGGCUCACGCCUGUAAUCCCAGCACUUUGGGAGGCCGACAUGGGAAGAUCACUUGAGGUCAGGAGUUCAAGAUCAGCCUGGCCAACAUGAUGAAACCCUGUUUCUCCUAAAAAUACAAAAAUUAGCCAAUUGUAGUGGUGGGUGCCUGUAAUCUCAGCUACAAAGGAGGCUGAGGCAGGAGAACCACUUGAACCCAGGAGGCAGAGGCUGCAGUGAGCCAAGAUUGCACCACUGCACUCCAGGCUGGGCAACAGAGCAAGACUUCAUCUCAAAAAAAAAUAAAUAAAUAAAUAAAUAAGAGGGAGCUCUGAAUUGGAAGGGCUGACAGUGCAGUGAGUUUUCUGAACAGCAGUGAAAGCUGGGAAGGGGUGGAGGAAAAUGGGGGAAGUGGGGAAAGGGCUUUCUGGGGAGUCCCAGCCCCUAGGUCUCUGGCUAUGCUACAUGACUUUCUGUGCCUCAGUUUCUCCUGAUGCAGCAUUGCUUGGACUACAAUAGAUGAGCCAUUAUUAUUUCUCCCAUAAGGCAGUGUGUGCGUGCUUGCGAGGCAAGCCUGCUCUACCCUGAGCCGAAGUUCUGAGCCCCUCUAGGUGACAGUGACCACCAGCUCAUCACAGGGGAAGGGCUUAGACCAGCACCUGGCAGCUCUGGGGUCGCCUAAGAUGAGUGAGAUGAGGAGUGGCCACAGCUCUGGUGGCUUCAAAUCUCACCCCUUGCACAGCCCUGUGUAUGACCUGGGAGGUUGCCCCCUGGGCACUAAAUGGGGGUGACAUUGUCCCUUGUGCCUCCAAGUGACACAAAAACAUUUGGGACAGGUUGAAGUCAGGCCCGGACCAUGACAGAUGUUUGAUAAAUGAUGGCUGUUUUCUGCCACUUAUUCCUCAAAACGUAGUGGGGCAUGGGGGGCAUUGUUGCAUGUCACAGAGAUGACAACUAAGGCUGGAGAUAUGACGGGGCUGGACGGAGGUUGCCCUGCAGGCCUGGUAUAGAACACAGAGUCUGGCAGAGCCUCUGCACGCAAAUGAAGAUUUCCUGUGGGGUGAAGCAGGUGGGGGUAUCGGGAAAAGGGACCCCAGGCCACAGUGGAA